rnacentral:tRNA from 1 species
GAGGGUAUAGCUCAAGUGGUAGAGUGCAUGCUCAGCAAACACAAGGUCCUGGGUUCAAUCCCCAGUACCUCCU